UACAGAGGGGGGCAAGCGUUGUUCGGAUUUACUGGGCGUACAGGGAGCGAGGCGGUUGGGUAAGCCCUCCGUGAAAUCUCCGGGCCUAACCCGGAAAGUGCGGAGGGGACUGCUCGGCUAGAGGAUGGGGAGAGGAGCGCGGAAUUCCCCGGUGUAGCGGUGAAAUGCGUAGAUAUCGCUUGGAACGCCAAGGUGAAAACAGGCUGCUGGG
rnacentral:rRNA from 1 species